UACGUAGGGUGCAAGCGUUGUCCGGAAUUAUUGGGGCGUAAAGAGCUCGUAGGCGGUUUGUCGCGUCGAAUGUGAAAACCCGGGGCUCAACCCCCGGGCCUGCAUUCGAUACGGGGCAGACUAGAGUUCGGUAGGGGAGUCUGGAAUUCCUGGUGUAGCGGUGAAAUGCGCAGAUAUCAGGAGGAACACCGGUGGCGAAGGCGGGACUCUGGGCCGAUACUGACGCUGAGGAGCGAAAGCGUGGGGAGCAAACAGG
rnacentral:rRNA from 1 species